AAUGGCAAAAUCAAAGGAUAAAACACAUCAAACGAAUAGACAACAACUGUCAUAUUCCUAACUUGGUGGAUUGAACCUGGUUUUAUAGCGGUUAACCUCUCACUUGUAUGACAGUUGCAUCAAAUUCCAUUAUAUUUACAACGAUGUGUAAUUUAAUUUUCAAUCAAAUUAAAAAACUGCUGGUAUAAAUCAUGAAUGUUACAAUUUUCUCCUGUAAACCAUUUCAAUAUAUAUCUAUUUGUAAUUGUAUUUGUAUAUUCCCUCAAACCAUGAAAGUACUCUACAUUCAUUAUUUCCAUGCCAAAACUAGUCAAUUAUCUUCAAUGAGCAUAACGAUUAAUACAUCACAUGCUUUUCUAUUUGUAGAAUAUUUUUGGAGGUAAUUUUACGUGAUGACAAUAUCGGUUUUCUAUGAUUAUUUAAAAGGAACAUUAUAAUUUUAUGUUUCAACACUUUAUAGAGUUGACCCUCACUUUUUAAUCCAUUGUCAGCCAGCUACAUGUAUAACCUUCUCCUAAGCCUAGUUUUCUGAAACUACUCGGUUAUGCUGACCAACCCAAGUGGAUUGUAUAACUGUAUUGUAGCCUUUUCAAAUACACACAAACAAUCAUAAUAGAUCUACCAUUUAAAUUAAC
rnacentral:lncRNA from 1 species